UGACCAUUAAGUUUUACACACUCUGGGCUCCUCCUUACAGGUCUGACAUAAGAGGAAGGGCAGAAAUAGUCAAAGUUCACUUUACAGACUCCAUUUUAACAGGAGGAAGAAGAUAUAUUUUUAACUAAACUCAAUUUGAAAACCUUAAACUUGUUUACAUGUUUGAUAGAAACAUGUGAGUCUAGUCUUGAGAAACAUGUUCUGAUGUGUGUACAAAUCCGUGCAGUGAUUUAUUUAUUUGGAAAAAGGUUGUAUCCCUAGGGGACGUAUUACUACAAAAUGGCGGCAUGGUAAACAGGAGCCUAUUGCAUCAGGAGAGACCUCCAUCACCUGUGCCCACUUGUGUGUCCAUGAAGAGUGAUCGGUCAAAGGAUGGUGAGAUCAACUUCCAACAUGGAGAUGACACAGAUGGAUCAAUGACUGGAUGGGCAAAAAGCCCAAUCCAUCAUGAGAGACCUCCAUCACCUGUGCCCACUUGUGUGUCCAUGAAGAGUGAUCGGUCAAAGGAUGGUGAAAUCAACUUCCAACACGGAUCAAUGACUCGAGGGGCGAAAAGAGGCCAGAUGCAGGAAUGUAACCCAGAUGCUGUCAGUGACCCGUUUACCAAAUCUCAACAGGAGGACCUGAAACACAUAUUCCAGGUUUGGAUGCAGUACUGCUAUACUGAAUAUGCCCAGAGUUGACAAUAUUGAUCAUAACUGAAGUGGAUGGGAAUUUCCAGACUGCUCUGGAUGUGUAGGCUUGUAGCUGUUUAGUUCACAGGAGUAAAGACAAGUACACACAAGAGAGCAUGCUGGGGGAAAGAAUAC
rnacentral:lncRNA from 1 species